rnacentral:rRNA from 1 species
UACGUAGGGUGCGAGCGUUAAUCGGAAUUACUGGGCGUAAAGCGUGCGCAGGCGGUCUUUCAAGUCAGUGGUGAAAGCCUGGAGCUCAACUCCAGAACUGCCAUUGAAACUGCAAGACUUGAGUACGAGAGAGGUGAGUGGAAUUCCCAGUGUAGAGGUGAAAUUCGUAGAUAUUGGGAAGAACACCGGUGGCGAAGGCGGCUCACUGGCUCGUAACUGACGCUCAGGCGCGACAGCGUGGGGAGCAAACAGG